rnacentral:lncRNA from 1 species
UAAACUACUAAAACUCAAAACAUGAACGGGGUCGGUGAGAAUGUCGGAAUUACUGGUUCCAAAUCAUUACUCCUGCAAAACCGAUAAAACAAAAACAAAGUAAACAUGUCAAAACUAUAUAGGUGAUGAUUGUUUGUGGUUUUUUUAUUUUAGUUUAGAUUUUUAUUACGAAACUAUAAGUGAAUUUUUAGAUUUUUCGAUAAAUAGUUUUGUAAAACAAUUCAUAAUAAUUAUUCCUAAAUAACAAACCAAAAAUUCAAGAAUUGUGUGUUUUACCCCAAACCGUCACUGCGGAAACGAACAUGACUACCACCGGAUCGGGACGACGAGUCUCCGCCGCAGACUUCACUUUUCCGACGGACUUUCCGCUCUUCUUCCGAUUUCUCAGUUAUCGCCGGCUUGUGCUCGGAGAUCACGCUGAGGGACGGUCUCCACUCUUGUCCCGGUUGGCCCGCAAGUCUGACGCGUUUCCGCCGCCUUCGCUGUUUCAUUAGCGACUGCGUUUCGCCUGAAAUGGAAUCAUCCACGGCGGAGUGGUGGAACUGCUGCGAACCAAAGCAAGGCACGACGAGCUCCAGUAAGAAUUUCAUGCCCUACACCACUCCUCACCUGAACUCUUUUCUACCUUUUUUUAUUUUAUUUGUAAUUUAAAUCUGAAUCUAAUCGUAAAAGUGUCUAAUAUUUUGGAAUGAUUAGAGAUGUUUUUAAGAAAAUGUUUGAGAAGGUUACUGGAGUGGUGUUCCUCUUCCGGAACAGAUGCUAUUUAUAGGAGCAAGUCAGAAGUCGGGACUGGCUUGAUUACGUGAACAUGUAUGUGAUUUGUGGCAUUAUUACUAAAAUGCCCUUACCACCUAAUCUUUAAAAUCAACUGGUUCCACACUGAAAUCGAGGGGUGGUCUCAUUGCCAAAUAACAUAAUCGGAUUCGGCGGCGUUAUUAUUGUUUACAAAUGAACUUUUGAAAUAAAAGAUCCCAUCACUCUUUUUUUUUUUUUUGUAAAAGGGCUUGAUACCAUCAAUCUUUAUAAAUAUAAAAUUUAUACCAAAUGUUUUCAAAUGGGAUUAUUUAUAGUGACCACCUCUACCACAUGAGUAUAUAAAGUCGUCUCUCAUACCAUAUGAGUUAUGAAAUCCAUUGUUUUGUUGAAAAAAGAUACGGUAUCACAUGGUGGCUUAAAUCUUAUAGUAUAUAUACUGAAUAAAUAUAAACCUAGCUAUAAUAUGCUUGAUCUAGUAUUACAUUACUAAUUAAAAUCAUUCAUAUUCAAUAUCACUGUCAUUUUUUCCUUCGGACAUUUGUAUUUUGUAAUCUCAGUAAAUAUUUGAUGGUAUGAUGAUACGAUCUAUAUACUGAAAAAAUUGCAUUGUGUAAAUAAUACUUGGCGAUGAGAAAACCUUAUAUUGCAAGAACUUAUAAUGUUUAAACUCCUGUAGAUAAGAACUACAAUAAAUGUAUAGACCAGAUUCAUAUCUCCUAGCCAUAUAGAACAUGAAGGUCCAACGUAAUAUGUGUAAUAAAUUCAUGAAACGAAAACAACUCCAUUUAAACCCUAAUUUAACGACAGAGGACGACAUAUCCAAAAUGCUGCCACGUUUGAAGUAAUCACACAUGCGACGCAACAAAAGCAACGAUUAAUCAUCUCCUGUUAAUUUGCUUGUACUAAUUAAAAUAAUACAAAUAUGCAUGCUCUCAUUUUCUUAUUCAUACGACGACUUUAUAGUAACAUAUUAUCAUGAAUAUUGGAGUUUAACUUGUUAGUUAUGUUGCUACUACCCGGACUCGAUAGUCCAGUGGUAUCUGCGCCUUGGGGAGGUCAGCUGUUCGAUUCGCAGGGCGGGGAGACGUGCCCAGGACCCUAACCGGUACAGGCAAAGGCUGGCGCCGAGCCUAGGUGGUGGACUGGCCGAAGGUUGGCCAACACCUGGUUAAACAAAAAAAAAAAAAAAAAAAAGUUAUGUUGCUACUCGCUAGGUAAUAGAUACCUAGUAGGUAUCACGUGCCAAUGUAAUUGUAAGAUGUAUUGAUCGAACAUUGACACGAAUAUAUAUGAUCGUAACCCACACCAUCGACUAACAUAACAACCUUAAGAGGAAAGAACUUGAUUACAAACGUUAUCCGACUUGAAACAAUCGCAUUUAGUUUCUUGAUACAGUUAAAUUUGACUUGUGCUAAUUCCUUAAACUUAAUAGUCGGAAACAAAAGCCCUUCAGCACGUUGCGGUCGAUAUCCUCAUUAUAACUAAUAUUUGCGUCAAAGAAUUAGACAAUCAAACAAUAAAACAUAUCAUUAUCACCAUUAUAAGCUAAGCAAACUCCAAAAAUUCUAACUGAUAAAAGAGGGAGAGAGUAAUGGGUCUCGCUUGUAAAACAGAAUUGGUUGCAUGAGAAAGAGGGAACUGUCGUAACAAACAUAAUUGGGACAGCCGAGGAAUGUCAUAGUAUGAAUGGUAUCUCUUUUGUUUUGUUUCCUCUUUUGUCUUUGUGACAUUUAUUGCAUAAACUUAUAUAAGCCAUUAGUAUUCUGAUAUUUUUUUUGUUCGGUCCACAUGUUAUAGAAAUGUUCGUAUAGAUUCUAGAUAACUCCAUGCUAAGAUUUGAGAACUCAAUGGUGUUUUGUUGUGGUCCAAUGGUGACAUUCCCAUAUGUUGAAAUCAUCAUGAUGGUUGCAUAAUGAAAGUGUUCAAUCAUCUCAAGAUAUAUAUAUCAAAGGUAUAAGAGUCUUUUGCCUCUUGAUGAAUAAGAUAUUUUUGAAAAUGUUUUUUUAGUAAAGGUAAACGUGAAUAAUAAUAUUAACAAUGUGUUAAGCAUGAAAAUUCUCUAUUUAUUAACUAUUUCGAAAAUUGAGUAAAAUAUUAUUUAGUUUGUUUGAGCAAGAAGAUGAAUAGAAAGAAGAUAAAAUCCCGGAAGUACUGCCGCAAGUCAUUCUAAUAUACUUGGACAACCAAAUAUAAUGCCCACAGGCCCACGACACGAAACAUUCUCGUACAUAAAAAGAUUGUCCUAAAAAGAAAUUUCUUAAACUCCAAUGAUUCAAUUUUCAAAUUUAAAGGAGUUAAAGAUAUUUCUUUCUUUCUAGUCUACAAUUUUCACUUCAAUUCUAAAUAAACGGUAGGAUUUGUCAUUUGGACUGAAAUUUUGACGUUAAACUUUAUAAUGCACUUUCUUGGAUUACACAGAGUGGCUUAUGCCAAGACAACCAAGAGAUCACGUGCAGAUUCUCCAUGUUAAUGUAUUUGACCACUUUAUCUAUUGUUACGACAUGGUGUGGGAGAGAUCAUUUGUACAUACUAUACUAAUUAUAUAUUGUUAGUUUAAUCAAAAUUAUAAUGUUUCUUUGCUUAGAUUUGAUGUUGGCGCGGAGGAUAGAGUGGGCGCAACACAAGAUCCGAUAAUUUUGAUUGUAUUUUCUAUAUAUAUCUAGAUCCAAAACUCCUUUGUCUUUUAAAUUUGAGAGGAUGAGAUGACUUUGAUAACUUAGAGAGCAGAUAUUCCUCAAAUUCAAAGUUUGCUUUGUUACAUGGUCGUAGGAUCAUUAAGCAAGAGAUGACUUCUCCACGUGCACGCUACAGCCCCAUGUUCGCAUGUCUCCAUCUAUAUAUAUUUACAUAGUCGUAUACAUAUACGUAGAUACAUCCAAAUUUGGAUAUUUAUUGAUUAUAGAGAGAAAAGGUGAUAGUCGUUCAAAAAAAGAGAGAAAAGGUGAUACAGACUAAAUGUGAUUAAAGAUGAAAAAAAACGCGUUAAGGCCUUCGUAGUGUACAUAUAUUUUAGGAUUUAAGAAUCUGAGUUCGGUUAAGGACCUAAGGUACAAGUCUACGUGUGAAUCAUUACAAAUUUACAUAGUAGUUUUUGAGACAAAAUCAACCAGAUUGACGUCUAAUGAAGCAACCGAGCACAUACAUAUUCAGAAUUCAGAAAUAAGAUUGGAGAUUUAAUGGGCCAUGGCGAUUGGUUUCGGCCCAUAAUCCGGCCACAUGAAAAUUCGUUGAACAGACUAUUCGUCUGUGGUUAUCAUAAUUGCGUCUGUAACUAUCACAGAAUUUGAACCUUCAAAUAUUCAAAGCCUAAUACAAGUUUUGAUGCUGAGUGUACAUAUAUCAUAAUGAAUAACUUAUAAACAAGCUCAGAAAACUAAUACAGUAAUUAUCAUUAAACCUAGAACCUGUUAAAAUUGAUUAUUGCUGGGGGGUCGUUCACCAUAUGGUUAGUUCUGUUGUCACUGUUUUUCAGAGAACGCCAUCUUUGUUGGAUAUUUGGCUAGCACCAGUAGGAAACCUGACCAUUAAUUGGAGGCGAACUUAACUAAUGUCAUCUUGCUCGUCCGUUUCCGAGUGUUAGGUAGCGCUUUUGAGACAAUAACAUAGUUAUGAUAAUACCGAAAUGAUAAAAUGAGGUUUUUCUUUCCGAGAAUUCUCCAAUGUUUUGUCAAAACAGAAUAAUAUGACAAAGACAAAGAGCUGGGAAAGUGUAGAAAGAAGAAAUUGUCAAGUUUUGAAAUUCGAACCAUGUUUAGAAGCGAUCUUUGGUAUAAUCUAAUGUUUGUGUGAGCUUAAAAUAGUGCCCAAGAGAUAGAAACGAUUGAUGAUGUCGUUGGGAAAAACUGGAUUUCAACCACGUAUUGAGCAAUAUUUUCACAUAAAAUUUUCUUUAGAUACCCAUUUUGGUUACUCUAACGUGCUCCGUAGGGUAAGCAGAUAAACUUAACAAGCAAAUUGAUAGACAAACUUUUUUUGUGUCAUCAACAAACUCUAUUAUUUGAGCUCGGCGAAACAUAUUUAUUUAUAUAUGUUUAUAUAUCGGUGGCAGUUACUAAUUAGUAUCAAAUAUAUAUACAUAGAUAAACUACUAAAACUCAAAACAUGAACGGGGUCGGUGAGAAUGUCGGAAUUACUGGUUCCAAAUCAUUACUCCUGCAAAACCGAUAAAACAAAAACAAAGUAAACAUGUCAAAACUAUAUAGGUGAUGAUUGUUUGUGGUUUUUUUAUUUUAGUUUAGAUUUUUAUUACGAAACUAUAAGUGAAUUUUUAGAUUUUUCGAUAAAUAGUUUUGUAAAACAAUUCAUAAUAAUUAUUCCUAAAUAACAAACCAAAAAUUCAAGAAUUGUGUGUUUUACCCCA